ACUAUUUUCAAGAGAAGGUAGGUACGACUCAAUACAACUGACUAACUUUUGUCUGAAACAUGUAUAUGAAUUAAAGAUAUUGUUUUUUCAUUUGCAGAUGAUCUUCCACCUCCCCAACCAUUCCAAGAGUUAAGUGCUUCUUUCGGAGGAUUUGGCAUUGAAACAGCACAUAGAUAUUGGUUAUCUGAAAUCAACGAUGCCACAGAAAACUUUGCUAAAAAAGUUGGUUCUGGGGGCUAUGGGACAGUGUAUUAUGGAAAGUUGAAAAACGGAAAAGAAAUUGCCGUCAAAGUUCAAACCAAUGAUUCUUGUCAGGGAAACAGACAGUUCUCAAGUGAGGUUUCUCUACUUUCAAGAAUACAUCACAGAAAUCUGGUUGAAUUUCUCGGUUACUGCCAGCAAGAAGGCAAAAGCAUUCUUGUAUAUGAGUUUAUGCAUAAUGGAGCACUGAAAGAGCAUCUUCAUGGCUCCUUGUCUCAGGAAAGUCCCAUCAGUUGGAUAAACAAACUUAACUCUUUGUAUAAAUCCUUUCACACUUGAUACGCAUAUUGGUGUAAUAAGCAAACUUAACUCUUUGUAUA